rnacentral:lncRNA from 1 species
UUAUUAAAAAAUAAAAACUAAAGAUAAAGAAAAAUUAUUGUUGUUACAUAUAUUCAUAUAUCUCAGAGCCUAAAAAGAAAAAUAAUUGUUUCCAUAUCUCCCUUAUAACUGUUUCUAUUUACCCCUUAUAAACUGUUUCAAAGCCCUAUAAUUUGAUUUUCCACUUUUAACCCUUAUCCCAAUGGUCCUAAAUAAUCUAAUACUUUUUUUUACUUCCUCACCACUCUAUUUUUUCUUCUCACACCUCACUCUCCAUAUCACCUCCCACAUUACCCUCAAAAUCACCCUCCACAUCACUUACCUUUUUCAUCUACUUUUCCCACCUCAUUUUUAUAUUAACUUUUUGGUUUAAACCCGUUUUUAGUCCCUAAAUUAAGUUCUGAUGUUCAGUUUAGUCUCCGCUUUUAAAAAUGUCAACCUUUAGUCCCUAUGAUAUGAAAAAUGUAUCAAAUUAGUCCUCAUGACAUCACUUAAUGAACAAUCACAAGUUUUCAUACCUAGGUAUCCAAUAUUUUGUGAUUUGUUACCGGAAGGUGUUAUGAACAACACAUCACUUAAUGAACAUCAGAACUUAACUUAGGGACCAAAAAAGGGUUUAAACCUAACUUUUUCAUACUAACUUUUCUAAUUAUUCCAUUUACCUUUUUAAAUUAUACUUUCCCCACCUACUUUUUAUAUUAUUUUUCUUCACCAAUUUUCUCCACCUAAUUUUACCAUUAAUUUUUUUUUUUAUUAUUUCCUGCAUCCACUUUCUUCAUCUAAUUUCUCCACCCGGAUUUUAUAUUAUUUCUUUCACUUAUUUUCCACAUUCACUUUUUCUAUUUACUUCUUUUUAUCAUAUUUUAUUUCACCUAAUUUCUCCACCCACUUUUUAUAUUAUUUUUUCCAUUAUUUUCCAUACUAACAUUUUCUAUUCACUUUUUUAAUAUAUUUUAUUUCACCUAAUUUUUUCACCCACUUUUUAUAUUUCUUUAAUUUAUUUACCACAUUAAUUUUUUCUAUUCACUUUUUAAUUAUAUUUUAUUUCAUAUAGUUUUUCCACUCACUUUUUAUAUUAUUUCUUUCACUUAUUUUGCACACUAACUUUUUCUAUACACUUCUUUUUAUUAUAUUUUAUUUAAUCUAAUUUUUCACUCACUUUUUAUAUUAUUUCUUUCACUUAUUUUCUCCACUAACGAUUUCUAGUCAUUUUUUUAUUACAUUUUAUUUUACCUAAUUUCUCUACCCAUUUUUUAUAUUAUUUCUUUUACUUAUUUUUCACACUAAUUGUUUCUAUUUUUCUCACUCAUUUUUUUAAAUUAUAUUUUAGCCACCAAUUUCACUAUCCAUAACUCUAUGAAUAUCCAUAUACUUUUCACUCCAUUUUUUACACACACAUAAUACAUCUCCUUUCUCCCACACCAAACCUCUUUAUUCCAUAUCUUCUCCCCUAAAACUCCACUCAAUUUUUCUCCUACACUCCAUCAUCUUUCUCUUCAUAUCUUUUAACAAGGUACACAUAUUUUCUUUUCAAUUCACUUUGUUUCUCUUUUAUUCUUAUUAUUUUCUUUUUUAUUUUUGUAAUCCAUCUUUUCAAACUUAUCAUAUUAUUUUUUGAAAAAAAAAAUAUAAAAAUU